rnacentral:tRNA from 1 species
GCGUCGAUUGCCGAAACCAGCAUGGGCUUCAUGUUCGCGCCGAAUCAUCAUCCGGCGAUGAAGAAUAUCGCGCCCGUGCGCCGCGAGCUCGGCGUG